rnacentral:rRNA from 1 species
CCUACGGGGGGCAGCAGUGAGGAAUAUUGGUCAAUGGGCGGGAGCCUGAACCAGCCAAGUCGCGUGAGGGAAGACGGUCCUAUGGAUUGUAAACCUCUUUAGGCGGGGAGCAAUGCCGGGCACGCAUGCCCGUAGGGAGAGUACCCGCAGAAUAAGCAUCGGCUAACUCCGUGCCAGCAGCCGCGGUAAUACGGAGGUUGCGAGCGUUAUCCGGAUUUAUUGGGUUUAAAGGGUGUGUAGGCGGUGUAGCAAGUUAGAAGUGAAAUACCUAGAGCUUAACUCAGGUGCUGCUUCUAAAACUGCUAUACUUGAGUGAAGUAGAGGAAAGUGGAAUUCCUAGUGUAGCGGUGGAAUGCGUAGAUAUUAGGAGGAACAUCAGUGGCGAAGGCGACUUUCUGGACUGUAACUGACGCUGAUGCACGAAAGCGUGGGUAUCAAACAGGAUUAGAUACCCCGGUAGUC